rnacentral:tRNA from 1 species
UGAAGCGUAGUUGGUUAGGGCACCUGGUUGUGGUUCAGAAGGUCGAGGGUUCAAAUCCCUUCA